AUUAAAAACCAAUGCCCUCUGGGCUCCUUGGUGAUCCAUGAUAACUUCUCGAAUCGCAUGGCCUUGUGCCGGCGAUGGUUCAUUCAAAUUUCUUCCCUAUCAACUUUCGAUGUUUGGGUAUUGGCCAAACAUGGCCGCAACGGGUAACGGAGGGUUAGGGCUCGACCCCGGAGAAGGAGCCUGAGAAACGGCUACUACAUCCAAGGAAGGCAGCAGGCGCGCAAAUUACCCAAUCCCGACACGGGGAGGUAGUGACAAUAAAUACUGAUACAGGGCUCUUUCGGGUCUUGUAAUUGGAAUGAGUACAAUUUAAAUCCCUUAACGAGGAACAAUUGGAGGGCAAGUCUGGUGCCAGCAGCCGCGGUAAUUCCAGCUCCAAUAGCGUAUAUUAAAGUUGUUGUGGUUAAAAAGCUCGUAGUUGAACCUUGGGCCUGGCUGACCGGUCCGCCUCACCGCGUGUACUGGUUCGGCCGGGCCUUUCCCUCUGUGGAACCUCAUGCCCUUCACUGGGCGUGAC
rnacentral:rRNA from 1 species